GAUGAAGAACGCAGUAAAAUGCGAUACUUGGUGUGAAUUGCAGAAUCCCGUGAACCAUCGAGUUUUUGAACGCAAGUUGCGCCCGAAGCCUUUUGGCCGAGGGCACGUCUGCCUGGGCGUCACGCAUCGCGUCGCCCCCCACAACUCUCCGUAAAGGGAACUUGUGUUUUGGGGGCGGAUAUUGGUCUCCCGUGCUCAUGGCGUGGUUGGCCGAAAUAGGAGUCCCUCCGGUGGACGCACGAACUAGUGGUGGUCGUAAAAACCCUCGUCUUUUGUUUCGUGCCGUUAGUCGCGAGGGAAACUCUUUAAAAACCCAAAUGUGUCGUCUCUUGACGGCGCUUCGACCGCGACCCCAGGUCAGGCGGGACUACCCGCUGAGUUUAAGCAUAUCAAUAAGCGGAGGA
rnacentral:misc_RNA from 1 species